rnacentral:rRNA from 1 species
UGGGGAAUAUUGGACAAUGGGCGAAAGCCUGAUCCAGCCAUGCCGCGUGUGUGAAGAAGGUCUUCGGAUUGUAAAGCACUUUAAGUUGGGAGGAAGGGCAGUAAGUUAAUACCUUGCUGUUUUGACGUUACCGACAGAAUAAGCACCGGCUAACUCUGUGCCAGCAGCCGCGGUAAUACAGAGGGUGCAAGCGUUAAUCGGAAUUACUGGGCGUAAAGCGCGCGUAGGUGGUUUGUUAAGUUGGAUGUGAAAGCCCCGGGCUCAACCUGGGAACUGCAGCCAAAACUGGCAAGCUAGAGUACGGUAGAGGGUGGUGGAAUUUCCUGUGUAGCGGUGAAAUGCGUAGAUAUAGGAAGGAACACCAGUGGCGAAUGCGACCACCUGGACUGAUACUGACACUGAGGUGCGAAAGCGUGGG